rnacentral:misc_RNA from 1 species
AUCAGACUAUGAGCAGUCAGAGCCGUCCACUUAUAUUAACGCACCUCUUGUUGGAGCACUGGCUUAUCUUGCUCACUCGUUUGGACAGCUCUAAGUCCUAGUCAUAGCAUGUACUUCUCCUAGUUUUUUAGAUUAGGCGUUGGGCUUGUCAAUUUUAAGUUUUAGUGGUUUUUUUCUUUUUUUAAAAUGUUUCCCUAAAUACAUUUCUCUAGCUGUGAACUGUGGUGGGCAUAGCUGGGGUCGGGGCCAUAAGGCUCGAGCCCCAAACCUUGAAGAAGCACAUUGAUCAAAAGGUUGUUGCUUUUGUUUAUCUAUUUUUAAUUUUACACAUCAUUGUUACCAGCUUUAGCCUUUGGUGCGAGUGCAAGUUUAGUGCCAAGAACGGCGUUUAUGUAUGUAAAAUAGAUAUAUGGCUAGGAGGAGCUUUUUUACUGUGUUAGGUCCGUUUUGGGACUAGUAAUAUGUCGUAUAGCGUUUUAACAUGCAUUAACUAGAAAUUCUCCGUCCA